UACGUAGGGACCGAGCGUUGUCCGGAUUCAUUGGGCGUAAAGAGCUCGUAGGCGGCUGUUCAAGUCGAACGUGAAAACUCGGAGCUCAACUCCGAGCCUGCGUUCGAUACUGGACGGCUAGAGUCUGGUAGGGGGAUCUGGAAUUCCUGGUGUAGCGGUGAAAUGCGUAGAUAUCGGAAGGAACAUCAGUGGCGAAAGCGACUUCCUGGACCAAUACUGACGCUCAUGUGCGAAAGCGUGGGGAGCAAACAGG
rnacentral:rRNA from 1 species